CCUCAGAGCUUAGUUGGUAAAGAAUCUGCCUGCAAUGCAGGAGACCUGGCUUCGAUUCCUAGGCUGAGAA
rnacentral:tRNA from 1 species